AGCCUGCCCAGUGACCCAGUUCAACGGCCGCGGUAUCCUAACCGUGCGAAGGUAGCGUAAUCACUUGUUCUUUAAAUGAGGACUAGUAUGAAUGGCACCACGAAGGUUACACUGUCUCCUUUUUCUAAUCAAUGAAACUAAUCUCCCCGUGAAGAAGCGGGGAUUUAAAUAUAAGACGAGAAGACCCUAUGGAGCUUCAAACUAAAUAGUAUUGGCUUUUAUCCAUUUAUACCCCCGGGGCCUCAUACUAACUCUAGCCUUUUAACUAUUAGUUUUGGGUUGGGGUGACCGCGGAGCAAAAAUUAUCCUCCAUGAUGAAUAGAGCUACUCUUGAGCCAAAAGCCACAACUUUAGGCACCAAUAAACUGACAUAAAUUGACCCAAUAUUUUGAGCAACGAACCAAGUUACCCUAGGGAUAACAGCGCAAUCCAUCUCAAGAGCCCCUAUCGACAGGUGGGUUUACGACCUCGAUGUUGGAUCAGGGUAUCCCAGUGGUGCAGCCGC
rnacentral:rRNA from 1 species